AUUGAACGCUGGCGGCAUGCCUUACACAUGCAAGUCGAACGGCAGCACGGGAGCAAUCCUGGUGGCGAGUGGCGAACGGGUGAGUAAUAUAUCGGAACGUGCCCAGUCGUGGGGAUAACGUAGCGAAAGCUACGCUAAUACCGCAUACGAUCUAUGGAUGAAAGCGGGGGAUCGCAAGACCUCGCGCGAUUGGAGCGGCCGAUAUCAGAUUAGGUAGUUGGUGAGGUAAAGGCUCACCAAGCCGACGAUCUGUAGCUGGUCUGAGAGGACGACCAGCCACACUGGGACUGAGACACGGCCCAGACUCCUACGGGAGGCAGCAGUGGGGAAUUUUGGACAAUGGGCGCAAGCCUGAUCCAGCAAUGCCGCGUGCAGGAUGAAGGCCCUCGGGUUGUAAACUGCUUUGUACGGAACGAAAGGUUUGUCUUAAUACGAUGAGCUCAUGACGGUACCGUAAGAAUAAG
rnacentral:rRNA from 1 species